AUUGAACGCUGGCGGCAGGCCUAACACAUGCAAGUCGAACGAGUGGCGGACGGGUGAGUAAUGUCUGGGAAACUGCCCGAUGGAGGGGGAUAACUCCUGGAAACGGUAGCUAAUACCGCAUACCAUCGGAUGUGCCCAGAUGGGAUUAGCUUGUAGGUGAGGGAACGGCUCACCUAGGCGAAGCUCCCUAGCUGGUCUGAGAGGAUGAAGAGACACACUGGAACUGAGACACGGUACAGAAGCCAAGGGGAGGGAGCAGUGGGGAAUAUGGCACAAUGGGCGCAAGCGUGAUGCAGACAUGCCGCGUGUAUGAAGAAGGCCUUCGAGUUGUAAAGUACUUGCAGCGGGGAGGCGUUACCCGCAGAAGAAGCAAAGGCUAACUCCGUGACAGCAGCCGCGGUAAUAC
rnacentral:rRNA from 1 species